GAUGAACGCUAGCUACAGGCUUAACACAUGCAAGUCGAGGGGUAACAAGAGGAAAGCUUGCUUUUCUUGUCGACGACCGGCGCACGGGUGAGUAACGCGUAUCCAACCUGCCUAUAACUAGGGAAUAACCUUGCGAAAGUAAGACUAAUACCCUAUGAUUUCCUUUGAUGACAUCAGAUUAGGAAUAAAGAUUUAUCGGUUAUAGAUGGGGAUGCGUCUGAUUAGCUUGUUGGCGGGGUAACGGCCCACAAAGGCAACGAUCAGUAGGGGUUCUGAGAGGAAGGUCCCCCACAUUGGAACUGAGACACGGUCCAAACUCCUACGGGAGGCAGCAGUGAGGAAUAUUGGUCAAUGGGCGGAAGCCUGAACCAGCCAAGUAGCGUGCAGGAUGACGGCCCUAUGGGUUGUAAACUGCUUUUAUACAGGAAUAAAGUUAGCCACGUGUGGUUAUUUGUAGGUACUGUAUGAAUAAGGACCGGCUAAUUCCGUGCCAGCCGCCGCAGUAA
rnacentral:rRNA from 1 species